rnacentral:lncRNA from 1 species
GGUAUAACCAAGUAUCAAACGCAUGGAGGAAAUCUAAACCUCCACCAAACACACCUGAAGAAGCUUCGAGGCUUGUAAGUCACACCCUACAGCGACACCCAACACCCGAUAUGGAGGGCUUAUGACCGUUCUACGUUCUCCGUCUUCCACAUCUUCUGGUUGAUGCGCCUUCACUCGUUGACGGGAUCAAGUUUGAGUUGCACACGCUUCCGGUGGAUGCAAAGGCAGUAGCAGAUGGGGAUACUGUAACAGUCUAUGUUAGUACCUCGGAUGCCCGGGAGUCAUCGCGUGUUCCCCAAGAGGUACAAAUGGCUGCGGUUGAACGUAUUGAAGCACUGACUGAAAGGAACUACACCAAAGCAGAUUCAUUGCAAAAACGAAUCACAGAUGUAGAACUUUUAGGUUUUUUACAAGGGUAAAGAAGAUACAGGGGCAUUUUAGUCUUUUAACAGAAAACUAACAGAAAAUAUGGAUGGUGUUAGAAAUUUGGACUCAAAUGGUUAAGGAAAAUGCUUAUAGGGACUCAGGUCGUUAAACUUUUUGCUUUUGUACUCAACUAGUUAAAAUCCAUAAAACACAGGGACUCAAAAAGUAAUUUACCCUACUUUUUUUGUUUAGUGAGUUUCUUUUAAAUCACGCGCACAAAACAUUUUAUAGGUCUUUGAUCUUGCAAAAGCCAUACGUGUACAAGUUAUAAAUUUACAUUUUGAUUAAAAAUGACGGAGCCAAUUGGACAAAUAUUACAGAGAACAAAGGUUAGGAUUUUACAUUUUGAUUAAAAAACAUUUAUAUUUCAUUGUUGGCUUUCUUUCAAGAUCAUUCAUUAAUUUGUUUUUUUUUUAAUAUUUUUUGUAAAAACCUUGAAAUAGAAGUCUUGAACUUCAAGUCAUUCAAAACAAGAGUUUUAGUAAAAUAUUAUGAACUAAGAAAUGAAAUAGAAAAGUGUGGAAAUCAAUGAUACUUGAAAAGAAUUGU